rnacentral:rRNA from 1 species
AGUAACACGUGAAUCAUCUACCUUCGAGUGGGGAAUAACUGAGAGAAAUCUUAGCUAAUACCGCAUAAUACCUACGGGUCAAAGGCAGCAAUGCGCUUGAAGAGGAGUUCGCGGCAGAUUAGUUAGUUGGCGGGGUAAUGGCCCACCAAGACGAUGAUCUGUAUCCGGCCUGAGAGGGCGCACGGACACACUGGAACUGAAACACGGUCCAGACUCCUACGGGAGGCAGCAGUGGGGAAUUUUGCGCAAUGGGGGAAACCCUGACGCAGCAACGCCGCGUGGAGGAUGAAAUCCCUUGGGAUGUAAACUCCUUUCGAUCGGGAAGAUAAUGACGGUACCGAGAGAAGAAGCCCCGGCUAACUUCGUGCCAGCAGCCGCGGUAAUACGAGGGGGGCAAGCGUUGUUCGGAAUUAUUGGGCGUAAAGGGUGCGUAGGCGGUUUGACAAGUCAUCUGUGAAAUCUCUGGGCUCAACCCAGAGUCUGCAGGCGAAACUGUCGGGCUUGAGUAUGGGAGAG